rnacentral:rRNA from 1 species
UACGUAGGGACCUAGCGUUGUCCGGAAUCAUUGGGCGUAAAGCGCGCGUAGGCGGCCCGGUAAGUCCGUUGUAAAAAGUCAAAGGCUCAACCUUUGAAAGCCGAUGGAUACUGCCGGGCUAGAGUACGGAAGAGGCGAGUAGAAUUCCUGGUGUAGCGGUGGAAUGCGCAGAUAUCAGGAGGAACACCGGUGGCGAAGGCGGGACUCUGGGCCGAUACUGACGCUGAGGAGCGAAAGCGUGGGGAGCAAACAGG